UGGGGAAUAUUGCACAAUGGGCGAAAGCCUGAUGCAGCGACGCCGCGUGAGGGAUGACGGCCUUCGGGUUGUAAACCUCUUUCGCUCAUGGUCAAGCCGCAACACAUGGUUGUGGUGAGGGUAGUGGGUAAAGAAGCGCCGGCUAACUACGUGCCAGCAGCCGCGGUAAUACGUAGGGCGCGAGCGUUGUCCGGAAUUAUUGGGCGUAAAGGGCUUGUAGGCGGUUGGUCGCGUCUGCCGUGAAAUCCUCUGGCUUAACUGGGGGCGUGCGGUGGGUACGGGCUGACUUGAGUGCGGUAGGGGAGACUGGAACUCCUGGUGUAGCGGUGGAAUGCGCAGAUAUCAGGAAGAACACCGGUGGCGAAGGCGGGUCUCUGGGCCGUUACUGACGCUGAGGAGCGAAAGCGUGGGGAGCGAACAGGAUUAGAUACCCUGGUAGUCCACGCUGUAAACGUUGGGCACUAGGUGUGGGGGCCACCCGUGGUUUCUGCGCCGUAGCUAACGCUUUAAGUGCCCCGCCUGGGGAGUACGGCCGCAAGGCUA
rnacentral:rRNA from 1 species